UAAAUUAUUUUUCUUUAUAUGUAAAGAUAAAAAUUAUUUUAUAUAAAGAUAAAUAAUAUUUAUUACUUAUAUACAUAAUGUAUUAUAUAUUAUUAUUAACAAUACAUAAUGUAUUAAAUUAUUCUUUUAAUA
rnacentral:misc_RNA from 1 species